GCAGCAAGUGCUAGUUCAAGUCAGUAAUCAUUUGAUGUGCGGGAUCUGUACUUCAACCUUCUUUUCGCCGGUAACCCCAUAAACUUAGUUGAGCUUCUUUCUACGAACCUGUCCCAUCCGAACCUCUAUUCGAACCUCUUCCUAUUGCUAUUGGUCGAUCUAGUCUUAUAAGUAACCUUCCUAUCCUCGCCAUCACUACUUCUCCCAAUCCCAACUAUCCUCUUACCUAUUGGAAUAUAAUAUCUAU
rnacentral:lncRNA from 1 species